CGGCUGUAGCUAAACUAAGGAAAAGAAGUUUACUGGCCGGUUGUUGCUGAGAUAUUCUGUAUCUCUUUUUAAUCGACAAAUCUGCUUACCGAACUUCUCACAGUU